rnacentral:rRNA from 1 species
GACGAACGCUGGCGGCGUGCUUAACACAUGCAAGUCGAACGGAGCGAAUGAAAGCUUGCUUUUAUGAGCUUAGUGGCAAACGGGUGAGUAACACGUAGACAACCUGCCGAUCAGAUGGGGACAACAUUCCGAAAGGAAUGCUAAUACCGAAUGAAGUGUGGGGGAGGCAUCUUCCCUACAUGAAAGAUGGCCUCUAUAUAUAAGCUAUCACUGAUCGAUGGGUCUGCGUCUGAUUAGCUAGUAGGUAAGGUAACGGCUUACCUAGGCGACGAUCAGUAGCCGGUCUGAGAGGAUGAACGGCCACAUUGGGACUGAGACACGGCCCAGACUCCUACGGGAGGCAGCAGUGGGGAAUCUUCCGCAAUGGGCGCAAGCCUGACGGAGCAACGCCGCGUGAGUGAAGAAGGUCUUCGGAUCGUAAAGCUCUGUUGAAGGGGACGAACGUAUAUAGUGCGAAUAGUGC